CCUACGGGAGGCUGCAGUGGGGAAUAUUGGACAAUGGGGGGAACCCUGAUCCAGCCAUGCCGCGUGUGUGAAGAAGGCCCUCGGGUUGUAAAGCACUUUCAGUGAGGAAGAACGCCUGGUGGUUAAUACCCAUCAGGAAAGACAUCACUCACAGAAGAAGCACCGGCUAACUCCGUGCCAGCAGCCGCGGUAAUACGGAGGGUGCGAGCGUUAAUCGGAAUUACUGGGCGUAAAGCGCGCGUAGGUGGCUUGAUAAGCCGGUUGUGAAAGCCCCGGGCUCAACCUGGGAACGGCAUCCGGAACUGUCAAGCUAGAGUGCAGGAGAGGAAGGUAGAAUUCCCGGUGUAGCGGUGAAAUGCGUAGAGAUCGGGAGGAAUACCAGUGGCGACGGCGGCCUUCUGGACUGACACUGACACUGAGGUGCGAAAGCGUGGGUAGCAAACAGGAUUAGAUACCCCAGUAGUC
rnacentral:rRNA from 1 species